rnacentral:rRNA from 1 species
UCCAGACUCCUACGGGAGGCAGCAGUGAGGAAUAUUGGUCAAUGGUCGGGAGACUGAACCAGCCAAGCCGCGUGAGGGAUGAAGGUACAGAGUAUCGUAAACCUCUUUUGUCGGGGAACAAAGGCGCCCACGGGUGGGCGGAUGAGUGUACCCGAAGAAAAAGCAUCGGCUAACUCCGUGCCAGCAGCCGCGGUAAUACGGAGGAUGCGAGCGUUAUCCGGAUUUAUUGGGUUUAAAGGGUGCGUAGGCGGACAGUCAAGUCAGCGGUAAAAAUGCGGUGCUCAACGCCGUACAGCCGUUGAAACUGGCAGUCGUGAGUGGGCGAGAAGUAUGCGGAAUGCGUGGUGUAGCGGUGAAAUGCAUAGAUAUCACGCAGAACUCCGAUUGCGAAGGCAGCAUACCGGGGCCCGACUGACGCUGAGGCACGAAAGCGUGGGUAUCGAACAGGAUUAGAUACCCUUGUAU